CUUCAUGGCACAUGAGUCUAACCUCUCAGUGAAGUAUUUAUUAUGAUUAAUUGUUAUUGUGCAAUUUUAGUGUUCAGUGGUGUUCAGUAAAAUUUUGAGAAAAAAAUGAAUAAACCUGUAAAUUUGAGGAAUCAAUUGAUCCUUUCAGGAGAACCUGCUGAAACAAUCAAUGGUAAUAAAUUACCACCGAACAAACAAGUGUUAAAAUUGUUGUUUCAUCAAACAAGAGAAAAAAAUAAAACACUUUCAGCAAGUUAUCAGUUUGUUGCAAAAGAAGUUAUCAAAAUCUGGAAUAACGCCGUAAUUCAAGUUCAAGCGACAUCAAGAGGUGUGAAAAAAGUAGAAAAACUGUAUAAUAAUUAUAGAAGUGUACAGAAAAAUCCAAAUCCAAAGACAGAAGGAGAAUUUUCUUCGUAUCUAGAAAAAAUUAUUUGACAUUGCACACGGAAAUAUUCUAGAGAUAGCUGAUACUGAAGCGUUAGAAUUUUUAUCAGAUCAAAGGACAGACAGAAAAUAUCAUUUACGUAUUUGCCAAGAGAAUGACAAUGAAUGUCAGUCAUUAGAAAAUCUGACUCAAAUGGAAGAUAAAAUUGUAUCUGAAAAUGACGAUCAUACUGAUUUGAUAACCAACGAUGAACAUCGUUCGGUUUCAGAUUUGACUUUACCUUCAAGCUCUAAAACUACUAGUAAUGAGCCUUUAAGUGGAGAGCAAACAUUAAGCGAUGAGACAACUACAUCUACAUCUCACCAAAGCUCACACUCAAUGUUUGAGGUUGGAGGUCGAGAUUACGAUCCUAAAAAUGUGACAGGAACUAUUAAUAUUUUGACUGAAGACGUAAUUGCUGCCUUAGAUAGCUGCAACAUCUCUUACAGGAAUUCUGUUCGGUUAAUAUCAGCUAUAUCAACAGCCCUAGGAGUUAACACGAAUACUUUAAUUUUGAAUGGGAAUAUACUCAAAAACAAGGCUUAACUUGCAUCGUAUCUGUCCCAGGUGACGCCCAAGAUCUAUCCCAAUUUUGGGUAAUGGAAGAAAUCCCAGGAGGAAAAUCCGGAGGUACGUUGUCCAGCCACCACUCAUCAAGCGCCCACCGCAACUUGGAGAAUCAAGGGAUAGAGCCAUAGCAAGGUUCAUUCAACAAGAAGCCAAACUAUAAAAAGCAUCCAGCCCUGAAAAAAGAAUAUAGCAAGGUGAUCCAAGAAUACAUUGACCUUGGCCAUAUGAGAGCUGUCAGUUGCAUGGAGAGCAAAUAAGCUAGCUACUAUAUUCCACAUCACGUCGUUAUCAAGGGUGAAAGCAUGAUAACAAAAACACGGGUUGUAUUCGAUGCAUCACGCAAAACGACAUCAAAGAAGUCGCAAACCAAAACUACCAGUUUACUGGUACGCUGAUGUCUACAUGAAGUGGAUUUUACGGCGGACAUCGAGAAAAUGAAACGACAAAUUCGCAUGGAUGAAGAAAAUCAGCAGUAUCAAAUAAUUGUAUGGCGAUUCCAUCCAAAAGAGCAAUUUCAAGACUAUUAAUUAAAAACAGUAACGUUUGGGACAAAAGCCGCUCCAUUUUUGGCAAUCUGUACGUUACAUCAAUUAGUCAUAAACUAAGCAAAGAGCCCAGAAGUCUCAAAAACCUUGAUGAGAGACGAAUGAGUGGAUGAUAUCAUUUCGGGUGCAAAAAUUGUCAAAACCGCAUUGAAUCUACAAAAUGAGUUGAUUGAGACGUUGAAAUACGAGAGAGAGAUUUUGCUUUUAAGGAAUCAUAAACCAGAAAGGAAUCAUCACAAAGCGGAUAGUCUUAUCAGAUAUCUCCAAGAUAUACGAUCCACUCGGAUGGUUAGCGCCGAUAAUCAUCAAAACAAAAAUAUUCAUUCAACAUUUGUGGAGGAUCCAGGUCGAAUGGAAUGAAGUCUUGACAAUACAAGAUACAAAUGAUUGGAUUUUUAAAGCACAGUUGCCAGCUAUCGAGACAGUAAGAAUACCGAGAUGGAUAUCAUAUUUAAUGACGCCUCAAAAAAAUAACUGUAUGCGAAAGUUCAAAGGUAUAAAACAAGAUUACUCUUCAUCGUCUGAUUUUUUCACUGAAAUUAAUAAUCUGAAUAUUUCACCACAAGGAAAUGAAACGAACAUUUAGACGUUGUAGGAUAUAAUCGCAAGUAAGUGAGCAAUUAGAGAAUAAUGAACAAGACAAAAUCACGUUUGAAAA